CCUACGGGUGGCAGCAGUAGGGAAUAUUGCUCAAUGGAGGAAACCCUGAAGCAGCAACGCCGCGUGGAGGAUGACGGUUUUAUGAGUGGUAACUCCUUUUUUGAUGGAAGUUAAUUACGGUAUCUCACGAAUAAGCUCCGGCUAACUCCGAGCCAGCAGCCGCGGUAAUACGGAGGGUGCAAGCGUUACUCGGAAUCACUGGGCGUAAAGAGUGCGUAGGCGGGUUUGUAAGUCAGUUGUGAAAUCCUGUAGCUUAACUGUAGAACUGCAUUUGAAACUAUGAGUCUAGAGUGUGGGAGAGGUAGGUGGAAUUCUUGGUGUAGGGGUAAAAUCCGUAGAUAUCAAGAGGAAUUCUCAUUGCGAAGGCGACCUACUGGAACAUUACUGACGCUCAUGCACGAAAGCGUGGGGAGCAAACAGGAUUAGAUACCCCAGUAGUC
rnacentral:rRNA from 1 species